rnacentral:rRNA from 1 species
GAGUUUGAUCCUGGCUCAGAUUGAACGCUGGCGGCAGGCUUAACACAUGCAAGUCGAGCGGUAACAUUGGUAGCUUGCUACCAGAUGACGAGCGGCGGACGGGUGAGUAAUACUUAGGAAUCUACCUAGUAGUGGGGGAUAGCACGGGGAAACUCGUAUUAAUACCGCAUACGACCUACGGGAGAAAGGGGGCAACUUGUUGCUCUCGCUAUUAGAUGAGCCUAAGUCGGAUUAGCUAGAUGGUGGGGUAAAGGCCUACCAUGGCGACGAUCCGUAGCUGGUCUGAGAGGUUGGUCCCCCACACUGGUACUGAGACACGGACCAGACUCCUACGGGAGGCAGCAGUGAGGAAUAUUGGUCAAUGGGCGGGAGCCUGAACCAGCCAAGUCGCGUGAAGGAAGAAGGAUCUAUGGUUCGUAAACUUCUUUUGCAGGGGAAUAAAGUGCAGGACUUGUCCUGUUUUGUAUGUACCCUGAGAAUAAGGAUCGGCUAACUCCGUGCCAGCAGCC